rnacentral:rRNA from 2 species
GUAGUCCUAGCCGUAAACGGUGCGUAUUUGCUGUAAAAGGAAUCGACCCCUUUUGUGGCGUAGCCAACGCGUUAAAUACGCCGCCUGGGAAGUACGGUCGCAAGAUUAAAACUCAAAGAAAUUGACGGGGGCCUGCACAAGCGGUGGAGUAUGUGGCUUAAUUCGAUGCAACGCGAAGAACCUUACCUGGCCUUGACAUGCAAGUAGUAGAACCAUGAAAGUGGGACGAGGUAGCAAUACCAGCUUGCACAGGUGCUGCAUGGCUGUCGUCAGCUCGUGUCGUGAGAUGUUGGGUUAAGUCCCGCAACGAGCGCAACCCUUGUGUCCUGUUGCCACUCGAACGAGAGUUCGAAGCACUCUGGACAGACUGCCUCGCUUAAACGAGGAGGAAGGUGGGGAUGACGUCAAGUCAGUAUGGCCCUUACGGCCAGGGCUGCACACGUACUACAAUGCCCGGCACAGAGGGAAGCGAGACCUUAAGGUGGAGCAAAUCCCAGAAAACCGGGCCCAGUUCAGAUUGUCGUCUGCAACUCGACGGCAUGAAGCUGGAAUCGCUAGUAAUGGCGCAUCAGCUACGGCGCCGUGAAUA